GUGUCUCGUGUAAUGGCCCAAGCGGCGGCUCAUAACCGCUUGGUUGGGGGUUCGAGUCCCUCCGGGCCCACCA
rnacentral:tRNA from 1 species